CGAACGGCUCCGUAUAACUGUUACAACCCCGUGCCCCUUAGCGCAACCUCGGAUAUCCGCGGUAAUUCUGUGGCUAAUACGUAACCCCCCGGUUUUUGGCCCAAGCAGCGUCAAGCUGCACCGGGGGUGCCUUGUUUUAACUGGCCCAUUAAGGGAAGCUUGGCGGCCUUGCCGUGUUUACCAGUGUGGUACCAUCCACUCUGCCUGAAGCAGGCAAGCGUACCUGAGCGAGCAACUCGCCCCAGGCAAUGGACACCAGACCUAUCAACUAGAUGCCCAGGUAGUGCCUGGGCAUGGUCGUAACGGGUACAGAGGAUCAGGGUUCGAUCCUGGAGAGGUAGCCUGAGAAAUAGCUACUACUUCUAAGGAAGGCAGCAGGCGCGCAACGUUCCCAAUGGGGAAACCCCGAGGACGUGAAGGGACAUAUCAAUGCUCGGCCUUUAAAGCGGAGCAAUUGGAAUGGGGGCCUAUUAAACCCCACACCGAGUAACAAUUGGAGGACAAGUCUG
rnacentral:rRNA from 1 species